AACACACAAAACAAACAAGUCCAAAAAAUAGUAUCCAGUCCAAUUAUUACAGUCUGAAAUAAAAUAUACUAAAAUAAACCUACACUAACCUAUACUAACCCUAAACUAUACUCUAUCCGUCGCCUCGGGCCUUCAUCAUAAACAUCCUUCGCGUACAAGAUACUUCGAAACAUUCCCCGGUGAAUAAAUAUAAAUGACCUCGGGACAUUCUCUGACUAAGUAAAUACAUUUUCCAAUUUCAGGCGACAAUAUAAAAUAAUCUCAAGCACAAAAUUCAAUUAUUCCUCAAUCAUCAAUUUCUAUGAUUUGCCUAUCCAAUUUAGAAUUUGCCUACUAAUUUCGGCCUAAUACAUGGUACUAUUGGGCUUAGCCAAGAUCAAUAUUUAUCCCAAAUUAAACCAUAAUCAAUAGAUCAAAACUAAACCAAUUUUCACUUUUAUCAAAAUCAAGCCCUCCCCGAAUUCAUUCUCAACCCCACAAUUAACCAAUUUUAAUAUAAAAUUAACUAGUCACCACGAUAAUUACGAAAGCUCAAAUACGUUCAAACAAACAAUGAAAUCACAUCAUCAAUCAAUUGAAAUAAUAAAAGGAGUAGAGUUGAAAAUUGAACCUCACAAGAACGAGUUUUUCAUUGGUAAUAGUGCGAUAAUAAAGCCCGAUAAAGCCCGAACUCGAAAUCUUCGAAUGAAGAACCUCAACAAGGAACAAAUCCAAUCGGUGUCAAGAAACCACAUUCAAAAAUUUGAUUCGAACACAAAUCCAUGAAGAAUAUAAGAAACCCGAAAUAAAGAUACCCGAAUCCACACAAAAUACUAACACCAACCCGAAUCCGGACUAAUUUUGAGAAGGAAAUAGGACUGCUGGACCGUCUGUCGGCGGGUCUCGCCGGACCAACAAUGGAUGGUGACAACGGCGUUUACCGGUGGCGGGCCGACGUAUUUCUGGGGAGAAAUUCGCCGACAGCCCUUCAAUUUGACCGCCUUUUAUCUCUCCGUGUACUCCGUUUCUCUCUCACUCAAUCUAUCCUCUCUCUCGUUUUUCUCUUCUCCUCCAUCCAGAUCUCUCCGUUUCUCUCUCACUCCGACCAGCUCUCCAUUUCUCUCACGUUCUCUCUCCGAUCUCCAUUUUUUCUCACAGGUGUGUGUGCGCGUAUGGUGUUCUGUGUAGAAGAUGAGAAUGGAAUUGUCUUCUAUGAAAUUUUGGUGUGUGUGAUAGUAUGUUGUUCUUCAACGGAGUCUCUAAGAAUGUGUGAUGGUGUUUGUGUAUAUUAUUGUGAAUGUGAGAAUUUUUGUUUCCAGUGAGUUGUGAGUGUGUGUGUUUUUUGUGUGUACGUAGAUGGUCAAAAAUGUGCGGAGAAAAAAAAAUUGUACUCACUUUGUUUAAAGAAGAAUGAUUUAAUUUUCUUUUUAGUACAUUUUAUAAAAAAACGUUUCUUUUUUUUGUUGAUAAUAUUUUAUUUUUUAUUUUUUAUUUUUUACAUGACAUACUUAGUACUACAAAAUUAAAAGAUAUUUAUGUACAUUUGACGUAACUUUAAUUUAAGACCAUAAAAUUUAAAAAAAAAUUUAUAUUUUUAAAUUUUAUGCUAAAUUAAAUUAGAUCAUUCUUUUUUAAACGAAAGAAAUAAGUAUUUAUUUUGCGUUGACAAAAUUGGAGAGUGCACGUAGGUGUGUCAGUGGAUAGGAUUAGUUGGGGUAGGGGCAGGGGCAGGUAGGGAGGGGGCAGGGUAGAUAGGGGUAGGAUAGGGAAAGCCAAAUGGAUAAAUAUUAUUUUUUGGGACGAAUAAAAUUAUGUGUCUACAAGUAAUAUAAUUCAUGAAUCGCAGUAAUAUUUCAUGUGUAUCUGUUAAAUAAAUUUUAUUUUAACUUUAGCCAAAAUUACUAAUUAUUUAUUUUCGAAAAAAUUCAGAUGACGGUUUAAUUAGAAUUGAACAAAAAUCUUAAAAACAAAUUAAGUAUGUUGAAUAUUUAAGAAGCAGUGUGGAACAUUCUUGAAAACCAAAGUAAAAAAAAUAAAAAGAGAGAUAAUUUUAUGAUAAUUAAAAUGAUAUUGCAAGUGUGCCCCAUUUUAAUGAGCCAAAUAUAUUUAAAACAAUAAAUUGUAAAAUCAUUCAUGUCACGCCUCUAGCCUAGCCAAGGCAUGGCCGAUAAGAACCGUAUGAGUGUCAGAUAUGUGGCUGACAUAAAUAUUAUGCGGAGUUGCAAUUUACAAACAAUGAUGCGGGGUUAUGUACAACUAUAACCACGUAUGAUAACUAAACACUAUCUACGAAGCCUCUAAGAGAAAUUGUAACUGUAACGAGAAGGUGGUUGGGACAGGACACCAACAUCUCCAAACUAUAACCGAAAACAUAAUUAAAAGGUAUCUAGACGUUUGUUCGCUCUAGGUAAGAGAGGAGCUCACCGAUUGCUUUGCUGAAUAUGGAUGAGUGUCUAGUAUAGAAGUCUGCUCAUCAAUACAUCUGAUUCUGUAUUUACAGAAACACAGUGCCCCAAAUGUAGGGACGUUGUACAUAUAAAAUAUGUACUAGUAUGUAAAGAAGACAGAAUAACAAGUAAACGUAUAGGGAUGCUCAAUAAGUCAAAUAAUAGAAUGAGCAACUGCGGAUAACUGAAUACUAGAACCUCUUAUAGGAAACUAUAACUUAUGAAAGAACAUGUGACAAAUACUCCAUAUAAAAUUGCUACUUAUGUGUUUAUCUUAUUAACUUAUCAUAUAACCACUUAUGAAUAAAUCAUUGUUAUUAAGGGUAUAGCAAUUUGCCUAAGUGAUGUCUUGUGCCUACUUUUAAUACAAAUAAUCAUAUGAUGGCCCACCAAGGGCACUCUACGUCAAGUGUACCAUAUGUGUUAUCCAACUCCUGACUAUGAUGUUAUACGUAUAACUGUGAUCGC
rnacentral:lncRNA from 1 species